CCUACGGGAGGCAGCAGUGGGGGAUAUUGCACAAUGGGGGAAACCCUGAUGCAGCGACGCCGCGUGUGGGAAGACGGUCCUCUGGAUUGUAAACCACUGUCCCCAGGGACGAAAUUGACGGUACCUGGGGAGGAAGCUCCGGCUAACUACGUGCAAGCAGCCGCGGUAAUACGUGGGGAGCGAGCGUUGUCCGGAAUUACUGGGGGUAAAGGGGGCGAGGGGGGGACUGCAAGUUGUGGUGCAAAUCUAGCGGCUCAACCGGUAGCCGCACUCAUAACUGCAGUUCUUGAGUGAAGUAGAGGCAGGUGGAAUUCCUAGUGUAGCGGUGAAAUGCGUAGAUAUUAGGAGGAACACCAGUGGCGAAGGCGGCCUGCUGGGCGUUUACUGACGCUGAGGCUCGAAAGUGUGGGGAGCAAACAGGAUUAGAUACCCCUGUAGUC
rnacentral:rRNA from 1 species